GAUGAAGAACGCAGCGAAAUGCGAUAAGUAGUGUGAAUUGCAGAAUUCAGUGAAUCAUCGAAUCUUUGAACGCACAUUGCGCCCCUUGGUAUUCCAUGGGGCAUGCCUGUUCGAGCGUCAUUUGUACCUUCAAGCUUUGCUUGGUGUUGGGUGUUUGUCUCGCCUUUGCGUGUAGACUCGCCUUAAAAUAAUUGGCAGCCGGCGUAUUGAUUUCGGAGCGCAGUACAUCUCGCGCUUUGCACUCAUAACGACAGCGUCCAAAAGUACAUUUUACACUCUUGACCUCGGAUCAGGUAUGGAUACCCGCUGAACUUAAGCAUAUCAAUAAGCGGAGGA
rnacentral:misc_RNA from 1 species